rnacentral:rRNA from 1 species
ACGAUGGGUAACCGGCCUGAGAGGGUGAACGGUCACACUGGAACUGAGACACGGUCCAGACUCCUACGGGAGGCAGCAGUGGGGAAUAUUGCACAAUGGAGGGAACUCUGAUGCAGCGACGCCGCGUGAGUGAUGAAGGAAUUCGUUUCGUAAAACUCUGUUCUAUGGGAAGAAAAGGACUGUACCAUAGGAGAAAGCUCCGGCUAAAUACGUGCCAGCAGCCGCGGUAAUACGUAUGGAGCGAGCGUUGUCCGGAAUUAUUGGGCGUAAAGGGUGCGCAGGCGGCUUUACAAGUUGGAUGUGAAAUAUUGUGGCUCAACCACAAACGUGCAUCCAAAACUGCAAAGCUUGAGUUAAGGAGAGGUAAGUGGAAUUCCUGGUGUAGCGGUGGAAUGCGUAGAUAUCAGGAGGAAUACCGGUGGCGAAGGCGACUUACUGGACUUAAACUGACGCUCAGGCACGAAAGCGUGGGGAGCAAACAGGAUUAGAUACCCUGGUAGUCCACGCCGUAAACGAUGAGUGCUAGGUGUUGGGGGUCAAACCUCGGUGCCGCAAGCAAACGCAAUAAGCACUCCGCCUGGGGAGUACGUGCACAAGCAUGAAACUCAAAGGAAUUGACGGGGACCCGCACAAGCAGCGGAGCAUGUGGUUUAAUUCGUGGCUACGCGAAGAACCUUACCAGGGCUUGACAUAUAGUACAAAGAGCAGCGAAAUGGUGACAUCAAGCGAAUCUCAAAAAGCCGAUCCCAGUUCGGAUUGUACUCUGCAACUCGAGUACAUGAAGUCGGAGUUGCUAGUAAUCGUAGAUCAGAAUGCUACGGUGAAUGCGUUCCCGGGUCUUGUACACACCGCCCGUCACACCAUGGAAGUUGGCAAUACCCGAAGCCGAUGGCCUAACCGCAAGGGAGGAGUCGUCGAAGGUAGGGUCAAUGACUGGGGUGAAGUCGUAACAAGGUAGCCGUAUCGGAAGGUGCGGCUGGAUCACCU